rnacentral:rRNA from 1 species
GUAGGUGGCAAGCGUUGUCCGGAAUUAUUGGGCGUAAAGCGCGCGCAGGCGGUUCUUUAAGUCUGAUGUGAAAGCCCACGGCUCAACCGUGGAGGGUCAUUGGAAACUGGAGAACUUGAGUACAGAAGAGGAAAGCGGAAUUCCACGAGUAGCGGUGAAAUGCGUAGAGAUGUGGAGGAACACCAGUGGCGAAGGCGGCUUUCUGGUCUGUAACUGACGCUGAGGCGCGAAAGCGUGGGGAGCAAACAGGGAUUAGAUACCCUGGUAGUCCACGCCGUAAACGAUGAGUGCUAAGUGUUAGGGGGUUUCCGCCCCCUUAGUGCUGCAGCUAACGCAUUAAGCACUCCGCCUGGGGAGUACGGCCGCAAGGCUG